rnacentral:lncRNA from 1 species
AUGGUGUCAAACGUGGGACAGCUUGGCUCAGUAACCAUAUGGGCUUUUGGAGAUGUGCAUGGCAGAUGUCCCUUGGAGAGCACUCCUGGACAUGAGGGCAGAAACGGUCAGUUAAAAUAUGCAUGUUGGAGAAAUAUCCUUCACCUUACCUCUCACAAGAGCACCAGAAUGAAUUCAGCCCCCAUCUGCACACUCCUGUCCAUGCAGAGAGAGGUGGAGCUGGGGUCUGCUGCUUUCAAGACACUCGAAAUCCCUGUAUCUCUGCAAGGACAGCGAGAAUCGAUCCGACUCUAAAUCCCAUUUCUUAUUUAAUAUUUAAGAUAAACAGAAUUUAAAGGGAAUGUAGAAAUUGCUAACUCAUACCCAGGGAAAAACCAUUUUUAAGAGAGUGAAACACCAGCUGAGAACUGCCAUCCUAUCUACAUCUUUCUUUCCUUUCAGCCAAGCCGAAUUUUUUUGCUGGCAUUAGUAUUGAUUUACAUGAGCAGAGGGCAGAUGGUUUUUUUUCCUGCCCUUCAAAAAAGGGUCUGCUGCAAUGUAGCAGGGAACAAGGCCAUCUCAUGCUUCGCUUUGGAAGUUGCCCUGUGUGGCCCUGGAUGAUGAUAAAAGAUGGGGACCUUCUGCAGAACUGCUGAUGCACAGGUCCCAAAAACAUAUUAAUUAUAAUUCUGGGUGGUAGGAAAUUGUACGUGACACAAGUUCAGCCUGCACAUAAUUGCAUCUGCUUGCAUCUUACACUCAGGAGAAAGGAAUAAGAAAGGAAUAAGCAGGCUGUUUCUGAGAUUUUCAAAAAUGAGCUGCCUGAUACCUCUGGAAGCAGGAUAAAGUUAUGUCUUUUUUCAUUGUUGGCAUUAUCAUAAAUAAUGUUCUGAGCCUGAAUCCAUUACUGAGUUGGAGAGGGACUCGUAGACCUUCGAAGGCAAUUAGGAUCAGCUGCAAAGGACAAUGUGUUCUUUUUUUAACAUGUACCUGUACAGCAUUGUUACAGUGCCUGGAGAGAGAUGCUUGGGAACUGCUCCUCUCCGUGAAAACUUCUGAUUAAAAUAAUCCAAAGUUUGGUAAAUUUUAGAUUUGCCAAAUACAUUUUUCUAAAGCCUUUCUGUCUUCAGAAAAGUGAAAUUCCUAAAACUUCCAAAUUAAGCAUCCUAGGAUUUGAACAGAAAUAAUGGGGGGGGCGGAGGGAGGAGGAAUCGCAGUUCAGAGAAUUGGGUGGAAAAACUUCUCUUUCUGUGAAAAUCUUCAUUCAGUAACCAACCUGUUUUCCAGAAGUGGAUGUGCAGGAUCUCCCAUCAGG